rfam:Leptolyngbya sp. O-77 DNA, complete genome.
UGAUUCCAGUCGCUCAUCGGCUCUCAAAGGGGAACAGCCUUUGGAGAUUGGCGAUCGCGCCAAUUGGGGAAAGUGCAGUGCAAGUCUGCCGCUGUCCCGCAACUGUGAAGUUGGGCAAGACACCCCGCCCGACCAGUCAGGAUGCCCGCCGAUGCGCUAUUUCGCAA